rnacentral:rRNA from 1 species
UGCAAGUCGAACGGUUAAGGCCCCCCUCGGGGGGCGCAUAGAGUGGCGAACGGGUGAGUAACACGUGACCAACCCGCCCCCCCACCGGGACAACCUCGGGAAACCGAGGCUAAUACCGGAUACGCCGGGGCCCCCGCAUGGGGGCUUCGGGAAAGCCUUGGCGGGAGGGGACGGGGUCGCGGCCCAUCAGGUAGACGGCGGGGCGAAGGCCCGCCGUGCCGACGACGGGUAGCCGGGCUGAGAGGCCGAUCGGCCACAUUGGGACUGAGACACGGCCCAGACUCCUACGGGAGGCAGCAGUCG